rnacentral:lncRNA from 1 species
UUUUUUUUCAUUAGUUUUUAAUAUUAGAUUUGUUCUUUAUUGUUUUGAUUACUAUUUAUUUAUUUUUUUGAAUUUUUUGAUGGUUAAAAAUUUUAUUCAAGAUUAUUUUUGGUCUUCUUAUGGUCAUCUUGGUCUCAUGACCAAAGUUACUGGUUUUGAAGAUUAGCCCGAUUUAACUUCUUCUUUUUAUUCUUUGUUAUUAG